GUAAGUUUGUGAUCUAGAUGUAUGAUAGACCCCACUCUGGGCCAAAAGUUUAUGAAUUUUAUUUAUUUUAUUCAAUUUUCCUUUCAGAUUAAUUACUUUCUCUUCUGUAAUUUUAAUUCUUUUAACCUAAUUUCCUUUGGUUGAUUUCACUUUUUCUCACUUCUUGAGAUGAAUAUUUAAUUAGUUUAUAUUUAUCCCCUUAAAAAUACAAAAGAUUACUAACUGGGUGUGGUGGCUCACACCCGUAAUCCCAGCACUAUGGGAGGCUGAGGCGGGUGGAUCACUUGAGGUCAGGAGUUGGAGACCAGCCUGGCCAACAUGGUGAAACCCCGUCUCUGCUAAAAAUACAAAAAUUAGUCGGGAGUGGUGGUGAGUGCCUGUAAUCUCAGCUACUUGGGAAGCUGAGGCAGGAGAAUCACUUGAACCCAGGAGGUGGAGGUUGCAGUGAGCAGAGAUUGUGGCAUUGCACUACAGCCUCGGCGACAGGGCAAGACUCGGUCUCAAAAAUAAAUAAAUAAAAUAAAAAGAUUACUAAAACACGCCUCUUACAUCUAACUAUCUUAGAUAGUAAGUAUUUUUAUAAUAGUUAUUUUCUAAAUAGUCUGGAAGGAAAGUUUUAAUUUUGCUUUUUACCUAAUAUUUACAUAUGAUAGUUAUUGUUGUAGAUGGUGUUUUUAUUUUAAAAUUUCUGAUUGUUUGGAUUUUGUUUUAGGCUAACUUUUGUAAUUGAUGUAUAGAUUUUUUGUUAUUACAUGUAACUAGUAAUACUUCAAUAUUUUAAAAUUCAUUAAGAAUUAAGGUUUGUUUUUAUAAAUAUUUAAUAUAUAUUUGCAAGUCUGUAAAUAUAUAUUUGCUCAUCAGCUGCAAAAUUCUAAGCAUGCCUACUAAAGCAAGCUUAUCAAUUAUAUUUUUCAAAUUCUCUCUAUCCUAAUUUAUUAUUGCUUAUCAAUAAAGAAAUAAGACGAAUGGUGGAGUAGCAAAUUGCAAUUGAGGUUUUGUCAAUUUCGUUAUGUUUUCAAGAAUUUUAUUUUUAUUUUGAUGCUAUAUUGUUUCAUAUAAGAGUUAGUAAAUGUCAUAAUUCAAUUAUAAAUCCACUACCUUUUGUUAAUAUGAGCUAACCCUCUGUGCUAUUUCCAUUGAAAUCCCUGUGCUCUGUCCACUGAGUUCUAUUGUGUCUGCUCCUGAAAUUACCUCCACUACCACUGGAACUCCUCUGCUUGCUCUCCUGUGCUUUGCAUUUUUUCAGUAUAUUAUUGCAUGCUUCUUUUUUUAUUAAACUAUCAUUUUGCUUAGGUGCUUCUCUUAUGUGCAGUCAAAUUUUGUGUUGUCUUUCAAUAUGUAGCUUUAAUAUGAAUUUAGCCAUUCAUAGGUAUUAAUAUGAACAUUAAUAUGUAUUUGUAUGUAUAUUGAUAUGUUUAGUUUUACCUGAGUUAAGUUUAUACUUUUUCAUGCUUCUUCCUCACCUUGUUUUUCUUUUUCUGUUGCUCUACUGAUAAUGUGUUCAUUACACUUUUGUAUUCUUUUUCUUAUUUGAAAGUUAAGAAUUAUUUUCUUUUUUCGACUUGUAAUUCACUUUAAAUAUAAAAUAAUAAAUUUGAGAAAUAAUGUUAAUGUAAAGAAUGUAACAGCUAAUAUCUCCAACUGUGAAAGAUGAAAAUGUUGGAUGCCUUUAUACCUUCUAUUUUUCAGCACACCUUCCAGUAUUUUACAGAUUUUGUCUGCAGUUUUAUGUACAGUUUUUCUUUUUUAUAAAAAUCAUCUUCACUUUUAACAAUUAUUUUUAAUAUAUGUGUUGCUUUAUAAAAACAUUGACAAUUUUUUUAGCUAUAACAGGUUUAAUUGCUUAGUAUCAUUUCUUUUAAAUACCUCAUUUCACUUCUUUUAAUUAAUUGCUGUUAAUUUCUCUCUUUGCAAGACAAAUUUUUUAAGUAUUUUUUUCAAAGACACAUGGUUACCAUAGAUUAAACUGAUGCCCCCAAAUGAUGAUAUGUUGGAGUCCUAAACCUCAGAACCACAGAAUAUAACCUUAUCUGGAAAUAAGCGUUGAAGAUAUACUAAGUUUUUGCAAUUACUUUUUUUUUUUUUUUUUUUUUUUGCGACAGUCUCUGUUGCCCAGGCUGGCAUGCAAUGGCACAAUCUCGGCUCACUGCAACCUCCACCUCUCGGGUUCAAGUGAUUCUCCUGCCUCAGCCUCCUGAGUAGUUGGAUUACAGGCAUGUGCCACCACACCUGGCUAAUUUUUGUAUUUUCAGUAGAGAUGGGGUUUCACCAUAUUGGCCAGGCUGGUCAUGAACCCCUGGCCUCAGAUGAUUGACCUGCCUUGGCCUCCCAAAGUGCUGGGAUUAUAGGCAUGAGCCACUGUGCCUGGCCUACAAUUAGUUUUAAUGGCAAAACCUGCAAUUGUUUUUAGGCCAACCUAAUAGUUAAGGUGAGUUCAUAUUGGAGUAGGAUGGGCCCUAAAUCAAUAUAACUCAUGUUCCUGUAGAGGAGGAGAGAGGACAGUCACACAGACAUGGAAGGGGAAAAGGCCAUGACAGAAGGCGGCAAGAGUGGAAGUGCUUCUGCCGAAAGCCAAGCAACAUCAAGUAUUGCCGACAAAUCACCGGAAGCUGGAGAGGCAAGGGAGGAUUCCACUCUAAGUUUCAGAGGAAACAUGGUCCUGCCAACGCCUUGAUUUUGAACUUAUAGCUUCCAGAACAGUAAUUCAAUACAUUUCUGUGGUUUUAAAUAACUCCAUUUAUGUGACUUUGUUAUGGCAGCACUUGGACACUAAUAGGAUGGGGUAAUAUCACUUAUGAUUUUUGAUGUUCUUGAGCAUGUAUUGCAGUUAAUUUACCCAUGAAUUUAGUGCAUGCCUCAAAAUGGAAAGCUUGAGUCUAUCCAUUUGGGUUGACAUUGUUUUUUCUCAACCUUUGAAUUAUUGCUUCAUUUUUUCUUUCCUUCUUUCUUUUUUUUUUUUUUUUGCGGAUUCUUCCUUCUAGUUGAUCUCCAGCACCUGAAGCCCUUCUCAAAAACGUUGAUAUAAUCAAGAUUUGCCCUGCCAAAAAUCGAUCUAUCACUGCCCACGUGCCCUGCAUCUGCAGUUCAGUGCUAGAAGUCCUAAGGAGGUUCUCCUGAGGGCCAGUUCUACUGAAUUCUCCUGACAGAGACCUGAGCAGAGCCUCAGCUGUAUGGCAGCACACUUGGGAUAACAGGGUGUGGAUAACGUGUCUCCAUCUGAUGCGGGAGAAUUGCAGGUCCUCAGCCUGACAGCGUACCUGCUCCACGGCAUAAGCUGCAUUGAGUGUGGGUCGCCAGCAACAUCGGCUUCUCCAUCUGGUCUUGGCAGGAGAAGUUCUAUAGUAGCUGCAGAAAUAUUUGGGAGGACCUUCAAAUGUGUCUCUAUUGUUGGGAAAGUUUCUUUACAAUCAGAAAAGUAAAGACAGUUCAGGGUCAUUUUCACAUGUGUUCACAUUAGUGGCCUUCGUAACAGUAAACCCACAAGCCAAAGUCCUAGUCGUGAAGCUGGAGCUCCUUGACCUAAUAGUUCCUACACUUCUGCAAACCUUCCAAGGGUAUCAGCUGGAAGGGAUAGGUCAUUGUUGCCAACGGUGGCCAGAAGGUGCAAGAAGCCUUGGUGCAGCAGACUGCCUGACACUCCACAUGCCCUUCUGACUCAGUCCCAAACCAGCAAAACUGCUAAACGGAACUCCAUGCAGCUAUUGGUGCACAAUUGGCAAAAUAAACUGUGCAAUACAGGUGCCAAAUCAAAAUGUGUAUAAAAAAUACACUGGAUUAAUUCUAGGUUAACUCAUGUAGAAAGGGUUCAAAGUCUGCAAAGGAUGGAGAAACAGGAGUAAUUCUCUGUGUUAAAAGACAAAUAUUUGCAUGAAUGUUUGAUGUAAUUUGUGAUCAUAAGAAAGUGCUUACACCUGACAGAUAAAGUUGAAACUGUCCUUCCUGUGUUCAUAGUUAAUGACAUUUUUCUGGUUUUGAAGUGUUAAUUUCGAUAGUUUUAAUGUAUCAGAAAAUCAUCUUUUAAUUCAAAUUUUCAGAUUUAUUAGCAUGCAUUUGCACAUAGCAUUCCUAUAACUAUUUCCCACAUGAUGUAGAUUAUAUUCACUUCCUUAUUUGUAAUUUUUACAAAUUCUUCUUAUUCUGUAUUUUCUAAUGUUCAUGUUUUUACUUCUCCAUUUAUUCUGCAGACAAUUUUCCAUUACAUAUAUUUUAAAAGUUAACUUUCAUAAUUACUAAGUCUGUUGUUUUCUUUAUCUGUCUAUUUCUUAUUUACUUAUGCAUAAUAAAUCCUCUCUUUUUAAAAACUAUUGCUUUUUAUACAUUAUGGCAUUUAAUGAAAUACGUUAGUUUCUUUUUUAAAUAAGUUACUUCUGCCUGUAAAGUUAUCAAGGCUUUGAACAGAUAUUUCAAAGAAGAUAUACAAAUGCCAAAUAAGGACAUGAGAAACUGUUCAAAAUCAUUAGUAGUCAUCAAGAAAAUACCAGUGAAAAUCACAAUCAGAUAUCGCAACCCAC
rnacentral:lncRNA from 10 species